rnacentral:rRNA from 1 species
AACGAACGCUGGCGGCAUGCCUAACACAUGCAAGUCGAACGAGACCUCCGGGACUGGUUGCGCUCGGGUGCGUAGCGCGUGGGAAGCUGCCCUUAUGUACCGAAUAACUCCCCUUAAGGGGUGCUAAUACCGGAUAAUUUCUUCUGACCAAAGAUAUAUCGCAUUUGGAUGGGCACGCGUUGGUUUAGCAGGUUGGUAGGGGAAGAGCCUAUCAAGGCGAGGAUACAUAGCUGGUUUGAGAGAAAGAUCAGCCACACUGGGACUGAGACACGGCCGAGACUCCUACGGGAGGGAGCAGAGCGGGAUACAGGACUAUGGGCGAAAGCCUGAUCCAGCACUGCCUGGUGAGUGCUGAAGUCCGGAGGGUUGUAAAGCUCUUUUACACGGGAUGAUAAUGACAGUACCGGGAGAAUAAGCACCGGCUAACUCCGUG